rnacentral:lncRNA from 1 species
UACAAGCCAAAACCCUUAAAUAAUAAGGAUAAUUAGAAUUUUUAAUAUUAUUUAUAAUUAAUUAAAAUAAUAAUGAUUAGAGAUGACCUCACUGUGCAUUCGCGCGCACAUCACAUAAUGCUAUAUUGUAUAUUGACACUCGUUUAAAGAAAAACUAUAGUAUAUAAUAAGUAGCACAUAUGUUGCAAUCAAAAUCAAAGAAUACCUAACAUACCAAUGUAAUGUAUUCACUUACACAUUCCAUUUUCGGAUAACAAAACAUUUUGGUAUUAUUCCAUUGUCACACUGAAUAACAAAUCAAGGUCAAGUUUGACAUUGAUUUGUCUGUUGUUUACACGCAAAAAACACUUAAUAAUUAAACACCAUCAUAAUUAAAUCUCAUACAAUUACUUAAAUUGGGCCAUACUUCAGUAAAAUGAAAAUAUAAACUGUAAUAGAAAAACCAUUAAAAAAAUCAUACUAAUUAAGGUUGUUGUAUGAGUAGGGAUGGCAAUCUACCCGCGGGUAACGGAUAUCCGCAAAAACCCGAACCUAUUAGGGUGGGUUUGGAUACCAUUUGAUAUCCAUGGAUAAUUUCGUGGUUGCAAUUCACUAUCCAUUUAGUUCGUGGGUAUGAGUUUGGAUACUUACUAUCCAUACCCGUGAAACCCGUUUACCCGCGAAAAAUACCCGUCAAUUAUCCGUGAAUUACCCGUCAAAUAUCCACAAAAAAUUCCAUAAAAUAUGGGCUUUGAAUAUAUAUUUUGAGAUUAUGGGCUAGCAUAUUAUAUCUUAGAAUAGGCCCAAACAGAAACUGAACUAAGACCCAAAUUCUAAUAGUCUAAUUUAAAUUUGAAUUUUGCUGAACAAUUAUAGAAUUUUGUUGGAUUUUAUAUUUUAGUUGAUGAAUUUGAAUUUAAACAUUGUUCUUUGUGGAUUUCAACAUAUGGAUUUGAACUAUGUUAUUUGUGUUGAUUUUUUUUCUAUUAAAUUUGUUGUAAAUUUAUAUUUAAAUUUUGUUUCGUGAGUAUCCGACGAAUAAUAGGUGGCGGGUAUCCGGCGAAUAGCGGGUGACGGAUACCCGCCGAAUAGCGGGUUCGUGGAUACCCGACGGGUAGUGGGUUUGGAUACCAUUUGAUAUCCAUGGAUAGUUUCGUGGUUAAAACCACUAUCUAUUUAGUUCGUGAGUAUGAGUAUGGAUACCCGUCGUACCCGAUUGUCAUCCCUAUGUAUGAGGGAAGCAUAUAUAUUUUUUAUGUAAUAAUUAAAUUUAAAAAAUAUAUUACGAUAUAUUCACUACAAGAUAUUUGAUCUCACGUAUUAACCACUUUGCCAAUAAAUCAAUGGAAGGAUAAUGAGUGAAGCAUAUUCAACACCAUAUAAAGUUUAUUAGUAUUACUAGUGGCCUACUUUUUGUAAAUAUUAAUUGAUUGGAGAAAUUUCAAAGCAACCAAAAUGUUAAUCAGGUAAAGACUGGUGUAGGGUUCCUCUCUCACUAACUCGCUUCUGUUAGAUCAAACCUGCAGCCUGCCAGCCAGCUAUAUUAUUAUUAUUAUAUAAUCGUAAUAUAUCAAGCCGAAAUUAUUUGUAAUAUUUUUCUGUGCCCAAUUCGUAAUUCGACUUAAUUAAAUAUAAAAACUUUUUAAUGAUAAAACGUCAUAAUCCACAAAUUGUCAUUAUUGAUUUUGCGAUGAAGCAUAUAAGAUGCAAUUAUGCAAACCCCGCAAGCUGUGAAGGGAAAACUAAGUAACACCUAAUUAAGUAUAUUAUUUAUAUAUACAACAAAGGCUCACAUAAAUGUGUGAAUAAACAUAUUAAUAUAAUAUUAUAUUAAUUUGGCAGAAAAUUAAUAUAAAGCAUCAAAAUCCAAUUUAGUAGAAAAUUCAUCAAAAUCAAAAAAUUAACUUUGAAGGCACCUUUCAAAUUUGAGAGAGAGAGAAUGAGGAGAAUCGGCAGGGGGCUAGGCGGCGGCAGACAAAAGCAGGGGACUCCGGCGGACGGCGGGGUGAACGGGACAGAUAUGAAACUAUACAAAUUUGAGAGAGAGAAAGGGGGAGAUGGAGAGAGAGCGAGAUGGAGAGAGAACUAAUGGUGAAUGUCGAGGGAAUGAGAAGCAGCAGAUCGACUCCGGCAGGGGGCGAGCAGCGGCGGCGGGAUCCGGCAGCAAUUGAAUUUGGGUGAACUGAACUCAAUUUGGGGGAAUGGUGUAGGGAAAUUGAAUUUGGGGAUACUAUUCAACAAUAUUCUCAACGGUUUAAUGACGGAAAAUCGAAAU